rnacentral:lncRNA from 1 species
CUACUCUCGAAGUAUGGACGGACCUAGUCAACAUCUACGAAGAGUCUUAGAAACAAUACGAUCAGAGGAGCUCUACGUGAAGUGCCCUAAAGUGCGAAUCUUGGAUUCGAAGAGUCAAAUUCUUGAGUCACGUCAUUAGCAAAAAGGGAAUUCACGUGUGCCCUUCCAAAAUCAAGGCCAUCAAGAACUGGUCGACACCAAAGGCACCUACAGAAACUUGGCAAAUUCUUAGGCCUCGCUAAAUACUAUGUUAGGUUUAUUCAGAACAUCUCAAGGAUCGUGGAGCCACUUACAACAUUGACCCAGAAAGGUGUGGCCUUUGACUGGGAAGAGAAACAAGAGAAGAUGUUCCAAACAUAGAAACAAGACUUGUGUACCGCACCGAUAUUAUCCCUCCCAGAAGGGAUAGAAGGUCUCGUUGUGUAUGGUACACAGAGCACCAUCUUCACAGACAACAAGAGCCUUCAGCAUAUAUUCGAUCAGAAGGAACUCAAUAUGAGACCGCGUUCUAUGGAAGGUCUCGCCUAGGAAGGGCCUGAUAUGCUUUGGAAAGUGCGGGAGGCUAAAUCCAAGAUACGUAAGGCCUUUCGAGAUUCUUGAAAGAAUCGGCCCUGUAGCUUACAAACUCAAUCUACCUUGUAAACUCAGUAACGUACAUUUUACUUUUCACGUCUCGAACCUGAAAAAGUGUCUGUCCGACGAGACUCUUGUAAUCCCACUCGAUGAGAUCGAGAUCUACGAGAGCCUAACCUUUGUGGAAAAACUAGUUGAGAUCUUGGACGGAGAGGUCAAGCAAAUUUAGGAAAGCCGCAUCCCGAUAGUGAAANAGCAAAGCCGCAUCCUGAUAGUGAAGGUUCGCUGGAAUGCCAAGCAAGGACCUGAAUUCACUUGGGAACGCGAGGAUAAAAUGAAACUGAAAUAUCCUCAUCCUUUAGCAUAGUUAUCAAUUCAUGCUUAAACUCUAAUUUCGGGAUGAAAUUCUCUCUAACGGGGGGAUGAUGUGACAACCCGAAAUUUCUAUCUUGUAUAGUUAUUCAACUCAAUCACAGUCAGACUUGUUUCUGCUAACAUUUAGCAUUGUUUUGGAGUCGGUUUGUGUUUUCUAGGCCUAGUAUACGAAAGAAUUAAGUGUUAGGAUGUGUCAGCUGAAGUUCGAAACCAACAAACAAGCCCUAAACGCCUUUAUAAGGAGUUCACGGCCAGGGCACAUGAGUUUACGGCCGUAAACUCAUGGUGGCCAUAAACUCUUGGCUAUAUAUAUGGUCCUUAGCCAUUUUCAAUCACUUUUUUCACAUAUCCAAUCCUAGAAAUUGGAUUCUCUCUCAACAUUCAUCAAGUUUUCUUCAAAAUCUUCCUAAAUGUAAGUGUUUCCAUCCAUGAUUUGUUAUUACAUGGGUAUAUCAAGUGAUGAAUCCACAUUUCUUUCCACAAAUUUCAUCUUUGACUAGAUCUUCAAGUGUUCUUCUUUUUCACCAAGAACACACACUAGUGUUUUUGGACCUUAAUCACCCUUUCAACCUUCUAUAUCGUAAGUACUCUAUCCUUAGCUUGAUAUAUGCUUGAAACACUUAGUUUACACUUUGAAAACAACAAGAAAUCAAGAACAAAAGUUGUUUAUGGACAAGAGCAUCUCCCUUGGUCGUAACCCAAAUUAAGUAUGCUUUUGUGCCAAAAAUCUUUCCUAAGGCUUGAACUUGAGUCUAGAACACUUCCUUGCGACUUGUAAGACCUUAACACACAAAAUGGUACAAAAUAGCAAGAGUUAACAGCCGUAAACUCAUUGGGCCAUAAACCCAUUGGCCGUAAACUCAUGGGGGUAAUACCAUUUGGGCCGUGAACUCCUAUGUGAAGCCCUACUUCCCUUACAUGCAAACCUAUGUGGUUUAACACUUCAUAACAAGUUUUUCGUAGUCCUUAAGGUUAUUCCAUUUAAUGAUUAGUUGUUCCAUUUCAUUAUUUCAAUUUAUCAAAACCCUGGUACAAUUAGUACUCGUCUAAGUAGGUUCAAAAUGUUUGUGAUAAGAUACCAAGGUUAGUUGUUCGUACCAGUAAUCGAAAUUUCUUUUAGAUCAUCACGACAUUUAAUUCACCAAAAAGUUUCGACGUCAUAAUUGGUAUGAAUUGCUUGAGUCUACGUCGCACCGACAUCAUUUGUUGUGAGAAAGCCGUUCGUCUUAACCUCCCUAACAACGAAGCUCUAGUUGUCUACGGCGACAAAAUUAGGUACGACCCUUCGCAUCAUCUCAUGCAUUCAAGCUCAGAAGUGCUUAUGAAAGGAAUAUCACGCAUUCCUUGCACAAAUCGUCGAUACAAGCCAAGAAGUGAGAGACAUUCAGAACAUUCCAGAAGUACACGACUUUCCAACAUCUUUCCAGAAGAACUACCAGGAUUACCACCACAACAUGAAGUCGAUUUCCGAAUCAACUUAGUUCUAGGGGCCACCCCAGUAGCCAAAUCGCCUUAUCGUCUAACACCAGCAGAGAUGCAGGAACUUUCCAGUCAGCUUAACGAACUUCUCAGGAGGGGAUUCAUUAGGCCAAGCUUCUCACCAUGGGGAGGACCAGUCUUGUUUUUGAAGAGGAAAGACAGAUCGUUUCGUAUGUGCAUCGACUACAGAGAGAUGAACAAACUUACCGUCAAGAAACGUUAUCCUUUACCCCGCAUUGACGAAUUAUUUGAUCGACUUCAAGGAGUGAACUACUUCACAAAUAUAGAUCUAAGAUCCAGAUAUCACCAGUUACAAGUGUUAGAGGAGGAUGUCCCCUAGACCGCCUUUCGAGCUCGUUAUGAACACUACGAGUUCGUAGUGAUGCCGUUCGGAUUAACCAACACACCAGCUGUAUUCAUGGAUCUAAUGAAUAAGGUGUAUCAUCCUUACUUGGAUCAGUUCGUCAUUGUCUUCAUCAAAGGCAUACUUCUCUACUCUCGAAGUAUGGACAGACCUAGUCAACAUCUACGAAGAGUCUUAGAAACAUUACGAUCAGAGGAGCUCUAUGCGAAGUGCCCUAAAGUGUGAAUCUUGGAUUCGAAGAGUCAAAUUCUUGAGUCACGUCAUUAGCAAAAAGGGAAUUCAUGUGUGCCCUUACAAAAUCAAGGCCAUCAAGAACUGGUCAACACCGAAGGCACCUACAGAAACUUGGCAAAUUCUUAGGCCUCGCUAAAUAUUAUGAAAGGUUUAUUCAGAACAUCUCAAGGAUCGUGGAACCACUUACAACAUUGACCCAAAAGGUGUGGCCUUUGACUGGGAAGAGAAACAAGAGAAGAUGUUCCAAACAUAGAAACAACACUUGUGUACCGCACCGAUAUUAUCCCUCCCAUAAGGGAUAGAAGGUUUCGUUGUGUAUGGUACACAGAGCACCAUCUUCACAGACAACAAGAGCCUUCUGCAUAUAUUCGAUUAGAAGGAACUCAAUAUGAGACCGCGUUCUAUGGAAGGUCUCCCCUAGGAAGGGCCUGAUAUGCUUUGGAAAGUGCAGGAGGCUAAAUCCAAGAUACGUAAGGCCUUUCGAGAUUCUUGCAAGAAUCGGCCCUGUAGCUUACAAACUCAAUCUACCUUGUAAACUCAGUAACGUACAUUUUACUUUUCACUUCUCGAACCUGAAAAAGUGUCUGUCCGACGAGACUCUUGUAAUCCCACUCGAUGAGAUCGAGAUCUACGAGAGCCUAACCUUUGUGGAAAAAC